rnacentral:rRNA from 1 species
AAGUGUACGGCCUUACAAAGGUCAACGAUGCGUAGCCGACCUGAGAGGGUGAUCGGCCACACUGGAACUGAGACACGGUCCAGACUCCUACGGGAGGCAGCAGUAGGGAAUCUUCCGCAAUGGGCGAAAGCCUGACGGAGCAACGCCGCGUGAGUGAUGAAGGUCUUCGGAUCGUAAAACUCUGUUAUUAGGGAAGAACAAAUGUGUAAGUAACUAUGCACGUCUUGACGGUACCUAAUCAGAAAGCCACGGCUAACUACGUGCCAGCAGCCGCGGUAAUACGUAGGUGGCAAGCGUUAUCCGGAAUUAUUGGGCGUAAAGCGCGCGUAGGCGGUUUUUUAAGUCUGAUGUGAAAGCCCACGGCUCAACCGUGGAGGGUCAUUGGAAACUGGAAAACUUGAGUGCAGAAGAGGAAAGUGGAAUUCCAUGUGUAGCGGUGAAAUGCGCAGAGAUAUGGAGGAACACCAGUGGCGAAGGCGACUUUCUGGUCUGUAACUGACGCUGAUGUGCGAAAGCGUGGGGAUCAAACAGGAUUAGAUACCCUGGUAGUCCACGCCGUAAACGAUGAGUGCUAAGUGUUAGGGGGUUUCCGCCCCUUAGUGCUGCAGCUAACGCAUUAAGCACUCCGCCUGGGGAGUACGACCGCAAGGGU